rnacentral:rRNA from 1 species
UGCUAUAAUGCAAGUCGAGCGGACAGAUGGGAGCUUGCUCCCUGAUGUUAGCGGCGGACGGGUGAGUAACACGUGGGUAACCUGCCUGUAAGACUGGGAUAACUCCGGGAAACCGGGGCUAAUACCGGAUGGUUGUCUGAACCGCAUGGUUCAGACAUAAAAGGUGGCUUCGGCUACCACUUACAGAUGGACCCGCGGCGCAUUAGCUAGUUGGUGAGGUAACGGCUCACCAAGGCGACGAUGCGUAGCCGACCUGAGAGGGUGAUCGGCCACACUGGGACUGAGACACGGCCCAGACUCCUACGGGAGGCAGCAGUAGGGAAUCUUCCGCAAUGGACGAAAGUCUGACGGAGCAACGCCGCGUGAGUGAUGAAGGUUUUCGGAUCGUAAAGCUCUGUUGUUAGGGAAGAACAAGUGCCGUUCAAAUAGGGCGGCACCUUGACGGUACCUAACCAGAAAGCCACGGCUAACUACGUGCCAGCAGCCGCGGUAAUACGUAGGUGGCAAGCGUUGUCCGGAAUUAUUGGGCGUAAAGGGCUCGCAGGCGGUUUCUUAAGUCUGAUGUGAAAGCCCCCGGCUCAACCGGGGAGGGUCAUUGGAAACUGGGGAACUUGAGUGCAGAAGAGGAGAGUGGAAUUCCACGUGUAGCGGUGAAAUGCGUAGAGAUGUGGAGGAACACCAGUGGCGAAGGCGACUCUCUGGUCUGUAACUGACGCUGAGGAGCGAAAGCGUGGGGAGCGAACAGGAUUAGAUACCCUGGUAGUCCACGCCGUAAACGAUGAGUGCUAAGUGUUAGGGGGUUUCCGCCCCUUAGUGCUGCAGCUAACGCAUUAAGCACUCCGCCUGGGGAGUACGGUCGCAAGACUGAAACUCAAAGGAAUUGACGGGGGCCCGCACAAGCGGUGGAGCAUGUGGUUUAAUUCGAAGCAACGCGAAGAACCUUACCAGGUCUUGACAUCCUCUGACAUCCUAGAGAUAGGACGUCCCCUUCGGGGGCAGAGUGACAGUGUGCAUGAUGUCGUCAGCUCGUGUCGUGAGAUGUUGGGUUAAGUCCCGCAACGAGCGCAACCCUUGAUCUUAGUUGCCAGCAUUCAGUUGGGCACUCUAAGU